rnacentral:rRNA from 1 species
UGGCGAGCGGCGGACGGGUGAGUAAUGCAUAGGAAUCUGCCCGGUAGUGGGGGAUAACGUGGGGAAACCCACGCUAAUACCGCAUACGUCCUACGGGAGAAAGCGGAGGAUCUUCGGACUUCGCGCUAUCGGAUGAGCCUAUGUCGGAUUAGCUAGUUGGUAAGGUAACGGCUUACCAAGGCAACGAUCCGUAGCUGGUCUGAGAGGAUGAUCAGCCACACUGGGACUGAGACACGGCCCACACUCCUACGGGAGGCAGCAGUGGGGAAUAUUGGACAAUGGGCGAAAGCCUGAUCCAGCCAUGCCGCGUGUGUGAAGAAGGCUUUCGGGUUGUAAAGCACUUUCAGCGAGGAAGAAAGCCUCUGGGUUAAUACCCCAGAGGAAGGACAUCACUCGCAGAAGAAGCACCGGCUAACUCCGUGCCAGCAGCCGCGGUAAUACGGAGGGUGCGAGCGUUAAUCGGAAUUACUGGGCGUAAAGCGCGCGUAGGUGGCUUGGCACGCCGGUUGUGAAAGCCCCGGGCUCAACCUGGGAACUGCAUCCGGAACGGCCAGGCUAGAGUGCAGGAGAGGAAGGUAGAAUUCCCGGUGUAGCGGUGAAAUGCGUAGAGAUCGGGAGGAAUACCAGUGGCGAAGGCGGCCUUCUGGCCUGACACUGACACUGAGGUGCGAAAGCGUGGGUAGCAAACAGGAUUAGAUACCUCUGGUAGUCCACGCCGUACACGAUGUCGACUAGCCGUUGGGACCUUU